rnacentral:rRNA from 1 species
ACUUAAGCAUAUUACUAAGCGGAGGAAAAGAAACCAACGGGGAUUCCCUGAGUAACUGCGAGUGAAACGGGACCAGCCCAUCGCCGAAUCCUUUCUGGCAACAGUGAAGGACCUGUGGCGUGUAGAAGAUGUCUGCCGGUAUGGCUAGUAUGCGUAAGUUCUCCUGAGUGAGACUCCAUCCCAUGGAGGGUGCAAGGCCCGUACCGCAAACAGCCGAUGCCGGUUAGCGUCUUUCGGAGAGUCGCCUUAUUUGUGAGUAUAAGGUGAAGUCGGUGGUAAACUCCAUCGAAGGCUAAAUAUGGCCGCGCGUCCGAUAGCGAACAAGUACCGUGAGGGAAAAUUGAAAAGCACUUUGAAGAGAGAGCGAAACAGUGCGUGAAACGGCUCAGAGGCAAGCAGAUGGGGCCUCGAAGGCAGAGCAGCGAAUUCAGCCGGCAGUUAGUGCGGUUGGCGGUUAUUGUGAUCGUAAGACACGGUGGCUGUCAAUGCGUUCGUACUUUUGCCGGUGCACUUUCGUUGCACGAUACACAACCGCCGUUGAGCGGGCAUCCGUUCGGCUGGCAGCGUGAAGCCCUACUCCCCUUAAAAGGCGUAGGUGCUUACAGCUGGCAUGUAACGCGUUUGCACCUCAACCGGUCAAGCAUUUGACACACACCAUGCCUUUGGCAGUGGGACUGGCGUGCUCCGAUUAGGCGUUAGGGAUGACGAACUUGUUCGGCUCUUUAACGUUUGGUGGACUCGCUGUCGGUUAUCCACGUAGGUGUGUUGUUGAUUCGGUUGUGAGUAGAUGGCAGC